GGGGGGCGGGGGGGGGGGGGGGGGGGGAGGGGGGGCGGGGGGGGGGGGGGGGGGGGGGCGGGGGUGGGGCGGGGGGCGGGGGAGGAAUGCCGGGGAAUCGGGCUGGUGGGGGGGGGUGACGUCCGGAGACGGGCGCUAAUACCGCCGACGUCCUGAGGGAGAAAGUGGGGGAUCUUGGGACAUCACGCUAUGAGAGGAGCGUAGGUCGGAUUAGCGAGUUGGUGGGGUAAAGGCCUACCAAGGCGACGAUCCGUAACAGUUCUGAGAGGAUGAUCAGUCGCACUGGAACUGAGCCACGGUCCAGACUCCUACGGGAGGCAGCAGUGGGGAAUAUUGGCCAAAGGGCGAAAGCCUGAUCCAGCCAUGCCGCGUGUGUGAAGCAGGUCUUCGGAUUGUAAAGCACUUUAAGUUGGGAGGAAGGGCAGUAAGUUAAUACCUUGCUGUUUUGACGUUACCAACAGAAUAAGCACCGGCUAACUUCGUG
rnacentral:rRNA from 1 species